UACGAAGGGGGCUAGCGUUGCUCGGAAUCACUGGGCGUAAAGGGUGCGUAGGCGGACUCUUAAGUCGGUGGUGAAAUCCUGGAGCUCAACUCCAGAACUGCCUUCGAUACUGAGAGUCUCGAGUCCGAGAGAGGUGAGUGGAACUGCGAGUGUAGAGGUGAAAUUCGUAGAUAUUCGCAAGAACACCAGUGGCGAAGGCGGCUCACUGGCCCGGUACUGACGCUGAGGUGCGAAAGCGUGGGGAGCAAACAGG
rnacentral:rRNA from 1 species